GAAUUGACGGGGGCCCGCACAAGCGGUGGAGCAUGUGGUUUAAUUCGAUGCAACGCGAAGAACCUUACCUGGUCUUGACAUCCACGGAAGUUUUCAGAGAUGAGAAUGUGCCUUCGGGAACCGUGAGACAGGUGCUGCAUGGCUGUCGUCAGCUCGUGUUGUGAAAUGUUGGGUUAAGUCCCGCAACGAGCGCAACCCUUAUCCUUUGUUGCCAGCGGUCCGGCCGGGAACUCAAAGGAGACUGCCAGUGAUAAACUGGAGGAAGGUGGGGAUGACGUCAAGUCAUCAUGGCCCUUACGACCAGGGCUACACACGUGCUACAAUGGCGCAUACAAAGAGAAGCGACCUCGCGAGAGCAAGCGGACCUCAUAAAGUGCGUCGUAGUCCGGAUUGGAGUCUGCAACUCGACUCCAUGAAGUCGGAAUCGCUAGUAAUCGUGGAUCAGAAUGCCACGGUGAAUACGUUCCCGGGCCUUGUACACACCGCCCGUCACACCAUGGGAGUGGGUUGCAAAAGAAGUAGGUAGCUUAACCUUCGGGAGGGCGCUUACCACUUUGUGAUUCAUGA
rnacentral:rRNA from 1 species